rnacentral:rRNA from 1 species
GCUGCGCUGCUUACCUGCAAGUCGAACGGUAACAGGUCUUCGGACGCUGACGAGUGGCGAACGGGUGAGUAAUACAUCGGAACGUGCCCAGUCGUGGGGGAUAACUACUCGAAAGAGUAGCUAAUACCGCAUACGAUCUGAGGAUGAAAGCGGGGGACCUUCGGGCCUCGCGCGAUUGGAGCGGCCGAUGGCAGAUUAGGUAGUUGGUGGGAUAAAAGCUUACCAAGCCGACGAUCUGUAGCUGGUCUGAGAGGACGACCAGCCACACUGGGACUGAGACACGGCCCAGACUCCUACGGGAGGCAGCAGUGGGGAAUUUUGGACAAUGGGCGAAAGCCUGAUCCAGCAAUGCCGCGUGCAGGAUGAAGGCCUUCGGGUUGUAAACUGCUUUUGUACGGAACGAAAAAGCUUCUCCUAAUACGAGAGGCCCAUGACGGUACCGUAAGAAUAAGCACCGGCUAACUACGUGCCAGCAGCCGCGGUAAUACGUAGGGUGCGAGCGUUAAUCGGAAUUACUGGGCGUAAAGCGUGCGCAGGCGGUUAUGUAAGACAGAUGUGAAAUCCCCGGGCUCAACCUGGGAACUGCAUUUGUGACUGCAUGGCUAGAGUACGGUAGAGGGGGAUGGAAUUCCGCGUGUAGCAGUGAAAUGCGUAGAUAUGCGGAGGAACACCGAUGGCGAAGGCAAUCCCCUGGACCUGUACUGACGCUCAUGCACGAAAGCG